AUUAUGGAGAGUUUGAUCCUGGCUCAGGACGAACGCUGGCGGCAUGCCUAAUACAUGCAAGUCGAGCGGACGAACUUUUGGUGCUUGCACCAAAUUUUCGUUAGCGGCGGACGGGUGAGUAACACGUGGGUAACCUACCCUACAGACUGGGAUAACUUCGGGAAACCGAGGCUAAUACCGGAUAAUACUUGGAACUACAUAGUUCCUUGUUGAAAGAUGGUUUUGCUAUCACUGUAAGAUGGGCCCGCGGCGCAUUAGCUAGUUGGUGAGGUAACGGCUCACCAAGGCAACGAUGCGUA
rnacentral:rRNA from 1 species